rnacentral:misc_RNA from 1 species
AACGCACAUUGCACCCGGUGGUAUUCUGCCGGGUAUGCCUGUUCGAGCGUCAUUUCUGCCCUCAGGCCUUGCCGCUCAGGCGGUGUAGGUACUGGUGUUGGGAGCUUACAGCGCUGGAUGUCCUCCAGGCGCUGUAGUCCCUAAUUUUAUCGGCGUACACGUGUACGUUGCCCCCUGCGUAGUGGUUUUUUCUUUCUCGCAUCGGGCCGUGCCGCCGUGCCGCCGCAAAACCUUUUACAACAUGAGUUUGACCUCGAAUCAGGUAGGGUUACCCGCUGAACUUAA